AUGCCAUCUAGACCCCACUUUGUUUCCCUCUGGGAAUGCAGAAAGACGGCAUUUCUCAGACCUCCUUGUAAUCAGUGGGUCGUGAGGCCAUUAGAAUGAAGUGAAGUGACAUUCAGGCUUAGACUGUAUAAAAAUCUUCCAGGCCUGACCCUAACGGAAGCUCAGAUGCAGAGGAUCCCAUAGAAGACUCCAAGGCCCUUUGUGAUGUAAGAGGCAUGGAAUAGAAAGAGUGUAAAUGAUCCUUUCACCUCCACUGACCUGCAAUAAAAUAUGACAUGAAACAACCAAGAUUUGAUGACAAUCAAAAUGGCAACUGGAAUAUAAUCCCUGUUUUCCCAGGUCACUUGUAGGAGAAGGGCUAUUCUGAGGAGGAGGAAGUUACAGGGACAAUCAAGUGUGUAGGAGGAACCGGAGAGGAGACCAGCUUGCUGGUUAGCACUGCAGAUGCAACAGCAGAGACUCUAGAUGCUUCUUGUGGCCCCAGCAACAGCAUCCCUGAAGGAGAGAGGAGCCAGAACCAGCUCCUCCUGACAGCGACCGACAGUUCUGGUGACUGGGAAAUUCAAGAUCAGAUGAGAUGCCAGAAGAUUUGGUGUCUGCUGAGAACCUACUUCCUGGUUCCCAGACAGCUGUCCUCUUGCCGUGCCCUCACACAAAGCAAAGCUAUGUCCUGAAUGGCUAGCUACACCCAAGAGUUACAAGGAGCACUCUCCAUAGAAGACCUGGUAUCUUUUCCUCAUAAUUACUGGAAGAUGCUACAAUAACAGAAGCUAGCAGAGAAAGUUAAGUCAAAGACAAAAACACAACCAAGAAUCACCAAAUAGUUAAGCAAAAAUCACACCCUGAAACAUAAGCAUAAAUCCAAAUACACAGAACUAACUCCUGAGGAAAUAAAAUAAAUACAACAAACUGAGAGUGAUUUUUCUUUCUUUUUUUUUUUUUAAUGUUUAUUUUUGGGAGAAAGAGAGAGACAGAGCAUGAGCAGGGGAGGGGCAAAGAGGAAGGGAGACAUAGAAUCUGAAGAAGGCUCCAGGCUCUGAGCUGUCAGCACAGAGCCCAACUUGGGGCUCGAACUCAUGAACCAUGAGAUCAUGACCUGAGCUGAAGUUAGACACUGAACCAAGUGAGCCACCCAGGUGCCCCGAGAGUGAUUUUUAAAGUAUAAUUAAUAUCUUUAGAAGCGUUAAUAAAAAAAGAUACCAUAUUCUUGUAGCAAAAUAGGCUGGUGCAAAAAUUUAUAAGACUAGUUAUGAUUUAAAAUUCUGUAACUGAAAUAAAACUCAGUAGAUGAACUGAGUAGACACACCUGAAGGACAGAGACAGCUGAAGAACAAAUUAGUGAACUAGAGCACAAAUCAAAAGGUCAAAGUGAUGAAAACUGGGGGGAAAUGAAGAAUGAGAGAGUGGAGACAGCUAGUAUGAAUGACUUAUAAAUAAAAUGAGUAUGAAUGGGAGAAGAGAGAUAGGAGGGAGAGAGAGUAACAUGGAAUACUGAAAGAUACAGAUUAAGCAAUGCUGGAUGAUGGAGGAGAACCAUUAAGUUAAGCAUGGCAGUGAGGUCCCUGCUGGAGGGAUCAUCAAAAAAAGAGUAACAAAUGAUACAUAAUAAUAAAUAAUAAAAAAAGACAUGUGUUUUAUAGUACCAGGAGAGAAAGUGGGGGUAAAGAUAGUGGAUGUGAAGUUUGUAAAUUGGUGUCAGGAAGUUGACCAAGCUAACAUUUGCCACCUUAUUUUUUGUUUGACAUAGUGAGGUGAGUUUUUCUUUCACCCAUCCCUAUUUCCUGGAAGCUGAAAGCUUCUACACCUAGGUGAUAGAAUGCGGGCUGUCUGUGCUGGGCAGAGGACAGGCUUUUAAUGUAAGAUAUAAAAGGAAAGGGAUAUGUUGAUAGGAAAUAAACAUCUAUAAUAUAAAGUGUCAGAUCUUUUUAAAAUUUAUAUUCUACUUUCCAGCCAGACUAGCACUUUUACCCUCCUCUAUCUUCUGGACCUGUCCAGCACAGAAAUCUUGGGGAACAGAAAAGGAGACCUAUUUCAGGAGCACCCACAACAGAGUAGGUUGGGAUUAGGAUGAAAGAGAAGUAGUUAAGAGGAUCAAGGACCAUGGGAAUAGCUCAAGGAGAGUCCAGGAUGCCUGGGUGGCUCAGUCGGUUAAGCAUCCAACCCUUGAUUUUGGCUCAGGUUAUGAUCUCACAGUUCAUGGGUUCGAGCCCUGUGUCAGGCUCCAAGCUGACAGUGCAGUGCCUACUUGGGAU